CUGGCGGCGUGCCUGACACAUGCAAGUCGAACGGAGUUGUUCCUUCGGGGACAACUUAGUGGCGAACGGGUGAGUAACGCGUGAGAAACCUGCCUUUCAGUGGGGGACAACAGUUGGAAACGACUGCUAAUACCGCAUAAUGUUGUUUGGGGGCAUCCCUGAAUAACCAAAGCUUUAUGUGCUGAAAGAUGGUCUCGCGUCUGAUUAGCUAGUUGGUGAGGUAACGGCUCACCAAGGCGACGAUCAGUAGCCGGUCUGAGAGGAUGAACGGCCACAUUGGGACUGAGAUACGGCCCAGACUCCUACGGGAGGCAGCAGUGGGGAAUAUUGGGCAAUGGGCGAAAGCCUGACCCAGCAACGCCGCGUGAAGGAAGAAGGCCUUCGGGUUGUAAACUUCUUUUACCAGGGACGAAGAACGUGACGGUACCUGGAGAAAAGCAACGGCUAACUACGUG
rnacentral:rRNA from 1 species